rnacentral:rRNA from 1 species
CCUACGGGUGGCAGCAGUCGAGAAUCAUUCACAAUGGGGGAAACUCUGAUGGUGCGACGCCGCGUGGGGGAAUGAAGGUCUUCGGUUUGUAAACCCCUGUCAUGUGGGAGCAAAUUAACAAGAUAGUACCACAAGAGGAAGAGACGGCUAACUCUGUGCCAGCAGCCGCGGUAAUACAGAGGUCCCAAGCGUUGUUCGGAAGCACUGGGCGUAAAGCGUGCGUAGGCUGUUUCGUAAGUCGUGUGUGAAAGGCGCGGGCUCAACACGCGAACGGCACAUAAAACUGCGAGACUAGAGUAAAGGAGGGGGAACCGGAAUUCUCGGUGUAGCAGUGAAAUGCGUAGAUAUCGGGAGGAACACUCGUGGCGAAGGCGAGUUCCUGGACAUUAACUGACGCUGAGGCACGAAGGCCAGGGGAGCGAAAGGGAUUAGAUACCCUAGUAGUC